UAGGGAAUCUUCCACAAUGGACGCAAGUCUGAUGGAGCAACGCCGCGUGAGUGAAGAAGGUUUUCGGACCGUAAAGCUCUGUUGUUGGUGAAGAAGGAUAGAGGUAGUAACUGGCCUUUAUUUGACGGUAAUCAACCAGAAAGUCCGGCUAACUACGUGCCAGCAGCCGCGGUAAUACGUAGGUGGCAAGCGUUGUCCGGAUUUAUUGGGCGUAAAGCGAGCGCAGGCGGAAGAAUAAGUCUGAUGUGAAAGCCCUCGGCUUAACCGAGGAAUUGCAUCGGAAACUGUUUUCUUGAGUGCAGAAGAGGAGAGUAGAACUCCAUGUGUAGCGGUGGAAUGCGUAGAUAUAUGGAAGAAUACCAGUGGCGAAGGCGGCUCUCUGGUCUGCAACUGACGCUGAGGCUCGAAAGCAUGGGUAGCGAACAGGAUUAGAUACCCUGGUAGUCCAUGCCGUAAACGAUGAGUGCUAAGUGUUGGGAGGCUUCCGCCUCUCAGUGCUGCAGCUAACGCAUUAAGCACUCCGCCUGGGGGAGUACGACCGCAAGGUUGAAAC
rnacentral:rRNA from 1 species